rnacentral:tRNA from 1 species
CAAUAUAAUAGGAUAAGGUCUAAUCCGUAGACCUUCAAAGUCUGAAAUAAUCUGUUUGGAUUUUAUAUUG